AUUGAACGCUGGCGGCAGGCCUAACACAUGCAAGUCGAGCGGAUGAAGGGAGCUUGCUCCUGGAUUCAGCGGCGGACGGGUGAGUAAUGCCUAGGAAUCUGCCUGGUAGUGGGGGAUAACGUCCGGAAACGGGCGCUAAUACCGCAUACGUCCUGAGGGAGAAAGUGGGGGAUCUUCGGACCUCACGCUAUCAGAUGAGCCUAGGUCGGAUUAGCUAGUUGGUGGGGUAAAGGCCUACCAAGGCGACGAUCCGUAACUGGUCUGAGAGGAUGAUCAGUCACACUGGGACUGAGACACGGUCCAGACUCCUACGGGAGGCAGCAGUGGGGAAUAUUGGACAAUGGGCGAAAGCCUGAUCCAGCCAUGCCGCGUGUGUGAAGAAGGUCUUCGGAUUGUAAAGCACUUUAAGUUGGGGGGAAGGGCAGUAAGUUAAUACCUUGCUGUUUUGACGUUACCAACAGAAUAAGCACCGGCUAACUUCGUG
rnacentral:rRNA from 1 species